UGCAAAGGAGAUACGUUUUCUCGGCAUUAUCGUUGUUAUUAAAUAUUUUGCAAAAAAACGGUUUCCCCGUAUCAUCUUUAUGACUGCGAAAACAUUCGUAAUAUCUUUCCAAGAAAUUGGAUGAUAUCGAGACGAAUUUGUCGGUAUAUAAGGAACCUCGGAAUGGAUUCGAAAUAUAAAACAGCAGAAAAGCCUAGAAAAAGAACAACCAAAAGCUUUCGAUACCAAUAAUUUAGCUUGCAAUCCUAAAAUGACGCCCUUGAAACUUUGCUCACUGGCCAUCAUCCUGGUCUUCUUCGCCGCGACUUGCAUUGUUCCGACAACUGAUGCCAUGUGCGACAAGCAUUACCCCCACAGAGGAUGUCAGUGUCAGUGCGGAGGUGAACUCAACGGACAUUGUCACUGCCCGUACGGUGGACAUAUUCCUGGCGUUUAUUGCAGAGAUGGCGGAAAUCACAUGAUUUGCUUCCCUUGGGGAGGUGGGGGAUGCCCAUUUCCCCGGUGCAACGAAUAAACCCUAAACAUUAUCGUUCGCUAAAUAUUAAAUAAUUGUGGCUAAUAUUUUCCUGUAAAAAUUCACAGAAAAUCUUAUUUAAAUGUAAAUAUGUAUGUAUCUGAA